GGGCCCAUAGCUCAGCUGGCAGAGCCACCGGCUCAUAACCGGUCGGUCCCUGGUUCGAAUCCAGGUGGGCCCAUCA
rnacentral:tRNA from 1 species